GACGAACGCUGGCGGCAUGCCUAAUACAUGCAAGUCGAGCGAACAGAUGAAGUGCUUGCACUUCUGACGUUAGCGGCGAACGGGUGAGUAACACGUAAGGAAUCUACCUAUAAGCGGGGGAUAACAUUCGGAAACGGGUGCUAAUACCGCAUAAUAUCUUCUUCCGCAUGGAAGAAGAUUGAAAGACGGCUCUGCUGUCACUUAUAGAUGACCUUGCGGUGCAUUAGUUAGUUGGUGGGGUAACGGCCUACCAAGACGAUGAUGCAUAGCCGACCUGAGAGGGUGAUCGGCCACAUUGGGACUGAGACACGGCCCAAACUCCUACGGGAGGCAGUAGUAGGGAAUCUUCCGCAAUGGGCGAAAGCCUGACGGAGCAAUGCCGCGUGAGUGAAGAAGGCCUUCGGGUCGUAAAACUCUGUUAUAAGAGAAGAACAAAUUGUAGAGUAACUGCUACAGCCUUGACGGUAUCUUAUCAGAAAGCCACGGCUAACUACGUGCCAGCCGCCGCCGUAA
rnacentral:rRNA from 1 species